GUCCACGCCGUAAACGAUGAGAACUAGGUGUUGCGGGUAUUGACCCCUGCAGUGCCGCAGCUAACGCAUUAAGUUCUCCGCCUGGGAAGUACGGUCGCAAGACUAAAACUCAAAGGAAUUGACGGGGGCCCGCACAAGCGGUGGAGCAUGUGGUUUAAUUCGACACAACCGCAGAACCUUACCUGUGCUUGACAUCUACGGAACCUUCGUGAAAGCGAGGGGUGCCUUUCGGGGAGCCGUAAGACAGGUGCUGCAUGGCUGUCGU
rnacentral:rRNA from 1 species